rnacentral:rRNA from 1 species
CCGCGCGCAAUAGGUAACGCGGCUAAACCAUGCACCGAAGCUGCGGCAGCGACACAACGUGGUGCUGGGUAGGGGAGCGUUCUGUAAGCCUGCGAAGGUGUACUGUGAGGUAUGCUGGAGGUAUCAGAAGUGCGAAUGCUGACAUAAGUAACGAUAAUGCGGGUGAAAAACCCGCACGCCGGAAGACCAAGGGUUCCUGUCCAACGUUAAUCGGGGCAGGGUGAGUCGACCCCUAAGGCGAGGCUGAAAAGCGUAGUCGAUGGGAAACGGGUUAAUAUUCCCGUACUGGUGGUAACUGCGAUGGGGGAACGGAGAAGGCUAGGUUGUCCGGGCGACGGUCGUCCCGGUUCAAGCAGGUAGGCAGAGUGAUUAGGCAAAUCCGGUCACUUAAUGCUGAGAUGUGAUGACGAACCACCAAGGUGGUGAAGCAAUUGAUGCCCCGCUUCCAGGAAAAGCCUCUAAGCUUCAGGUUACCAACAAUCGUACCCCAAACCGACACAGGUGGUCAGGUAGAGAAUACUCAGGCGCUUGAGAGAACUCGGGUGAAGGAACUAGGCAAAAUGGUGCCGUAACUUCGGGAGAAGGCACGCUGGCGGUAGGUAAAGUCCCUUGCGGACGGCGCUGAAGCCAGUCGAAGAUACCAGCUGGCUGCAACUGUUUAUUAAAAACACAGCACUGUGCAAACACGAAAGUGGACGUAUACGGUGUGACGCCUGCCCGGUGCUGGAAGGUUAAUUGAUGGGGUCAGCCGUAAGGCGAAGCUCCUGAUCGAAGCCCCAGUAAACGGCGGCCGUAACUAUAACGGUCCUAAGGUAGCGAAAUUCCUUGUCGGGUAAGUUCCGACCUGCACGAAUGGCGUAAUGAUGGCCAGGCUGUCUCCACCCGAGACUCAGUGAAAUUGAACUCGCUGUGAAGAUGCAGUGUACCCGCGGCAAGACGGAAAGACCCCGUGAACCUUUACUAUAGCUUGACACUGAACAUUGAGCCUUGAUGUGUAGGAUAGGUGGGAGGCUUUGAAGUGUGGACGCCAGUCUGCAUGGAGCCAACCUUGAAAUACCACCCUUUAACGUUUGAUGUUCUAACCUAGGCCCAUAAACUGGGUCGGGGACCGUGUCUGGUGGGUAGUUUGACUGGGGCGGUCUCCUCCUAAAGAGUAACGGAGGAGCACGAAGGUUGGCUAAGCAUGGUCGGACAUCAUGCGGUUAGUGCAAAGGCAUAAGCCAGCUUGACUGCGAGAGUGACGGCUCGAGCAGGUACGAAAGUAGGUCUUAGUGAUCCGGUGGUUCUGAAUGGAAGGGCCAUCGCUCAACGGAUAAAAGGUACUCCGGGGAUAACAGGCUGAUACCGCCCAAGAGUUCAUAUCGACGGCGGUGUUUGGCACCUCGAUGUCGGCUCAUCACAUCCUGGGGCUGAAGUAGGUCCCAAGGGUAUGGCUGUUCGCCAUUUAAAGUGGUACGCGAGCUGGGUUUAGAACGUCGUGAGACAGUUCGGUCCCUAUCUGCCGUGGGCGUUGGAAGAUUGAGAGGGGUUGCUCCUAGUACGAGAGGACCGGAGUGAACGCACCACUGGUGUUCGGGUUGUCAUGCCAAUGGCAUUGCCCGGUAGCUAAGUGCGGAAGAGAUAACCGCUGAAAGCAUCUAAGCGGGAAACUUGCCUCGAGAUGAGUCUUCCCUGUCGCUUUAAGCGAACUAAAGGAACGUUUAAGACUAAGACGUUGAUAGGCUGGGUGUGUAAGCGUAGCGAUACGUUGAG